UACGAAGGGGGCUAGCGUUGCUCGGAAUCACUGGGCGUAAAGGGUGCGUAGGCGGGUCUUUAAGUCAGGGGUGAAAUCCUGGAGCUCAACUCCAGAACUGCCUUUGAUACUGAGGAUCUUGAGUCCGGGAGAGGUGAGUGGAACUGCGAGUGUAGAGGUGAAAUUCGUAGAUAUUCGCAAGAACACCAGUGGCGAAGGCGGCUUACUGGUCCGGUUCUGACGCUGAGGCGCGAAAGCGUGGGGAGCAAACAGG
rnacentral:rRNA from 1 species